rnacentral:rRNA from 1 species
GGAAUUGUUCGCAAUGGGCGCAAGCCUGACGACGCAACGCCGCGUGGAGGACGAAGAUCUUCGGGUCGUAAACUCCUGUCGAGCGGGAAGAAACCCGCGGGGGUGAAUAAUCCCUGCGGCUGACGGUACCGCUAAAGGAACCCCCGGCUAACUCCGUUCCAGCCGCCGCGGUAAUACGGGGGGAGCAAGCGUUGUUCGGAUUUACUGGGCGUAAAGGGCGCGUAGGCGGCCACCGCAAGUCGACUGUGAAGUCUCCGGGCUUAACCCGGAAAGGUCGGCCGAUACUGCGGGGCUAGAGUGCAGAAGGGGCAACUGGAAUUCUCGGUGUAGCGGUGAAAUGCGUAGAUAUCGAGAGGAACACCUGCGGCGAAGGCGGGUUGCUGGGCUGACACUGACGCUGAGGCGCGAAAGCUAGGGGAGCGAA